rnacentral:rRNA from 1 species
GAUGAACGCUAGCUACAGGCUUAACACAUGCAAGUCGAGGGGAAACGAUAGAGAAAGCUUGCUUUUUCUAGGCGUCGACCGGCGCACGGGUGAGUAACGCGUAUCAACCUGCCCAUCACUUGGGGAUAACCUUGCGAAAGUAAGACUAAUACCCAAUGAUAUCUCUAGAAGACAUCUGAAAGGGAUUAAAGAUUUAUCGGUGAUGGAUGGGGAUGCGUCUGAUUAGCUUGUUGGCGGGGUAACGGCCCACCAAGGCGACGAUCAGUAGGGGUUCUGAGAGGAAGGUCCCCCACAUUGGAACUGAGACACGGUCCAAACUCCUACGGGAGGCAGCAGUGAGGAAUAUUGGUCAAUGGGCGAGAGCCUGAACCAGCCAAGUAGCGUGCAGGAUGACGGCCCUAUGGGUUGUAAACUGCUUUUAUAAGGGAAUAAAGUGAGUCUCGUGAGACUUUUUGCAUGUACCUUAUGAAUAAGGACCGGCUAAUUCCGUGCCAGCAGCCGCUGUAA